GUCUACGGCCAUGCCACCCUGAACAUGCCCGAUCUCGUCUGAUCCUGGAAGCUAAGCAGGGUCGGGCCUGGUUAGUACUUGGAAGGGAGAUAAUGCAGGGAGGCGAGUUA
rnacentral:rRNA from 1 species